AGGAUGAACGCUAGCGGCAGGCCUAAUACAUGCAAGUCGAACGGUGGUAGCAAUAUCAUAGUGGCGCACGGGUGCGUAACACGUAACUAACCUACCUAUAACUGGGGGAUAGCCCGCCGAAAGGCGGAUUAAUACCGCAUAAGCUGUUGAGGUGGCAUCACCUUAUUAGUAAAGAUUUAUUGGUUAUAGAUGGGGUUGCGGGUCAUUAGCUAGUUGGUAGGGUAACGGCUUACCAAGGCGACGAUGACUAGGGGAGCUGAGAGGCUGGUCCCCCACACGGGCACUGAGAUACGGGCCCGACUCCUACGGGAGGCAGCAGUAGGGAAUAUUGGGCAAUGGGCGAGAGCCUGACCCAGCCAUGCCGCGUGCAGGAUGAAGGCUUUCUGAGUCGUAAACUGCUUUUGACAGGGAAGAAGUAAGGCUUACGUGUAGGCUGAUGACGGUACCUGCAGAAUAAGCACCGGCUAACUCCGCGCCAGCACGCCGCGGUAA
rnacentral:rRNA from 1 species